CAUCAAUGUAUUAGACUAUUAGGUUCCUGGUUAUAUCAUCAAUGUAUCAGACUAUUAGGUUUACUCCAGAUUAUAACAUCAAUGCAUUAGACUAUUAGGUUUACUCCAGAUUAUAACAUCAAUGUAUUAGACUAUUAGGUUCCUGGUUAUAUCAUCAAUGUAUCAGACUAUUAGGUUUACUCCAGAUUAUAACAUCAAUGUAUUAGACUAUUAGGUUUAC